CUGACCUGCCCGAUGAGGAAUUAAAUGGCCGCGGUAUAUUGACUGUGCAAAGGUAGCAUAAUAAUUAGUUUUUUAAUUGGAAGCUUGUAUGAAAGGUUUGAUGAGAAAAUUUCUGUCUCUAUACAAAUUAUUUAGAAUUUUAUUUUUAAGUUAAAAAGCUUAAAUUUUUAUAGAAGACGAGAAGACCCUAUAGAGUUUUAUAUUAAUUAAUUUUUAAGAUUUGUUGGUAUAGAAGAUUUUAAUUUUGAGUUAAUAUUUUGUUGGGGUGAUAGGAAAAUUAGAUGAACUUUUCUUUAAUUUACCAUUAAUUUGUGAGUUAAUGAUCCUAAAGUUUAGAUUAUAAGAUGAAAUUACCUUAGGGAUAACAGCGUAAUCUUUUUGAGAGUUCUUAUCGAAAAGAGGGAUUGCGACCUCGAUGUUGGAUUAAAAUUUAUUGCUGGUGCAGAGGCUAGUAUAUUAGGUCUGUUCGACCUUUGAAAUUUUACAUGAUCUGAGUUUAAACCGGUGUGAG
rnacentral:rRNA from 1 species